rnacentral:lncRNA from 1 species
UCCGUUUCUUGCAUAAGUUAAAUUGCUUGAUAUCUUACACGCAAAAUUUGUGAUUUGUAAUUGGUCCUCCGCUGUGUCACGACCUUCUUUAUUUGAUAUGUCCAAAUCUGGCAAAGUACUCGAAAUGCUGAAGAAUAUGGUAAGUCAAGAACAUUGUGUGUUACUGUGCAAUUCUAUUUAUGCUCUAUUGAUUGACAUGGUUAGCAAUUCAGCACAGAAUACAUGGCCCAAUGAACAUUGUAUGUGAUGACACGACAUUAGCUGUACCAGAUUAAAUUCUUUCUAAAUUUCGCCUAAUUGUGAUUUGCCAGUGUAAUGACACUUAUUUUCUAUGGCAUCAUAGUUGGGUGAGGUAAAAGGAUAGUAAUUAUGAUAAAAUGAGAUGGCAUUAGCUGCACGAGAUUAAGUUCUUGCCUGUUUCUUCUUUCUGCCAAAAAUGCAAAGCUUUUGAUGCUGAUCUAAUGGCGGCGAUGUUCGCAGAUAAAUCCCAGGUGGUGGAGGCCUCGACGCGCACCGAUCGAUCGAGUUCACGGGAGGCGGCAGCGAUGUCCGGCGCCAAUGCGAGCUCGCCGGCGGCCN